rnacentral:rRNA from 1 species
GUACGCUGGCGGCACGCCUAACACAUGCAAGUCNAACGCAGUAGCAAUACUGAGUGGCGAACGGGUGAGUAUAAUGUGGGUAUCUGCCUUUUGGUUUGGAAUAACACGAGGAAACUUGUGCUAAUACCGGAUAAGCCCUUACGGGGAAAGUUUUAACGCCAAAAGAUGAGCCCGCACUUGAUUAGCUAGUUGGUAAGGUAAUGGCUUACCAAGGCUACGAUCAAUAGCUGAUCUGAGAGGAUGAUCAGCCACAUUGGGACUGAGACACGGCCCAGACUCCUACGGGAGGCAGCAGUGGGGAAUCUUGCACAAUGGAGGAAACUCUGAUGCAGCGAUGCCGCGUGAGUGAAGAAGGCCCUUGGGUUGUAAAGCUCUUUCGUCGGGGAAGAAAAUGACUGUACCCGAAUAAGAAGGUCCGGCUAACUUCGUGCCAGCAGCCGCGGUAAUACGAAGGGACCUAGCGUAGUUCGGAAUUACUGGGCUUAAAGAGUUCGUAGGUGGUUGAAAAAGUUAGUGGUGAAAUCCCAGAGCUUAACUCUGGAACUGCCAUUAAAACUUUUCAGCUAGAGUAUGAUAGAGGAAAGCAGAAUUUCUAGUGUAGAGGUGAAAUUCGUAGAUAUUAGAAAGAAUACCAAUUGCGAAGGCAGCUUUCUGGAUCAUUACUGACACUGAGGAACGAAAGCAUGGGUAGCGAAGAGGAUUAGAUACCCUCGUAGUCCAUGCCGUAAACGAUGUGUGUUAGACGUUGGAAAUUUAUUUUCAGUGUCGCAGGGAAACCGAUAAACACACCGCCUGGGGAGUACGACCGCAAGGUUAAAACUCAAAUGAAUUGACGGGGACCCGCACAAGUAGUG